rnacentral:sRNA from 1 species
UAAGCAGACAGAAUGAUAGGUAAUGAGAGCAGACUGAGAAAAAGAUAAGGAGACAGAAUGAUAGGUAAUGAGAGCAGACUGAGAAAAAGAUAAGCAGACAGAAUGAUAGUUAAUGAGAGCAGACUGAGAAAAAGAUAAGCAGACAGAAUGAUAGGUAAUGAGAGCAGACUGAGAAGAAGAUAAGCAGACAGAAUGAUAGUUAAUGAGAGCAGACUGAGAAAAAGAUAAG